UACAGAGGGGGCAAGCGUUGUCCGGACUUACUGGGUGUAAAGCGCAUGUAGGCGGUAGCGCAAGUCGGGCGUGAAAUCCCACGGCUCAACCGUGGAAGUGCACUCGAAACUGCGCAGCUAGAGUCCUGGAGAGGAAGGUGGAAUGCUUGGUGUAGAGGUGAAAUUCGUAGAUAUCAAGCGGAACACCGGUGGCGAAGGCGGCCUUCUGGACAGUGACUGACACUGAGAUGCGAAAGCGUGGGGAGCAAACAGG
rnacentral:rRNA from 1 species